UACGUAGGGACCAAGCGUUGUUCGGAUUUACUGGGCGUAAAGGGCGCGUAGGCGGCGUGUCAAGUCAAUUGUGAAAUCUCCGGGCUUAACUCGGAACGGUCAGAUGAUACUGCUUUGCUAGAGUGCGGAAGGGGCAAUCGGAAUUCUCGGUGUAGCGGUGAAAUGCGUAGAUAUCGAGAGGAACACCUGCGGCGAAGGCGGGUUGCUGGGCUGAUACUGACGCUGAGGCGCGAAAGCUAGGGGAGCGAACGGG
rnacentral:rRNA from 1 species